ensembl:lncRNA
CUCUGACAAGAUAACAUGUAUGUGUAUAUGUGUGUGUGUGUAAGUGUUCUCUUAAUGUGACAUUUUUUUUUCAUUAUUCCUGGCAGUCACAACAGAAUUUGCUUCAUUCUAAACAUAUGGAUCAACUGCCUCACUGUUAACAUAUAUGAGUAUAUGCCCUCCAUUGUCACAAUCUGUUAUAUUUACUUUUCCUAUACAGUAUUGUGUGUUAAGCGGUGGCCAAUAGGAUGCCCCUGAAUGGACAUGUGACCUAACAGAGGUCAAGUGAACCUGCGUUCAAUAAAGACGACUCAGUUUAAGUCAAACAGCCAUGAUGCUCCACUUGUGUUAUUUGUACUGCGAUAAUAUUCGGCCUAGCAUUGGGUAUGAACGCCGGGACCGUUGAGCGAACCAUCUCUGCUAACACUCACACACUACAUUUACUAAAUCACACUCAUUUGUCCGAUUUUGAGGUUGUUCUUAAGGAAGAUGAGUUGAUCCACAAACUGUACUGGUAGAGCCACUGUAGCGUCCCUGAAUCCGAGGAGGAGGCAGACGUCUCACCGUGUCGCCUCUUCAGGUGCGUCCCUAAAUUAGUUGUGCUGCCGGUACUUUAUGGCAGCACGACAUAUUUUACAGAUGACAUGGGAUUUAUCCAAUUUCCCAUCUUUCUUUGAAAAUCCAAAGUGUUGCCAACCCUUGGAUUUAUUGCAAGUUUUCGGGACGUCUAACUCUCCAUCCGCCAUGGUAACGCUCUCCCACGCGCUCUCCUCCAACUCGCGCGAGACCUCACGAGAUUCGGCCACUGGCAGCAGUGGAGAUGAGCGCGCUUAGAAACAGUUAGAGAGGAGUGGUGUUCGCCUACACACGAAUCCGUAUACAUACAUCGGAUUAUAGCGAUGCAAAAAUGUUAGAAACGAUGCACCGCGAUUCAUCCCACAAGGUAUCCGGUGCACACUUUUCUGAUCCGGGUCAUCGCAUCGUGAGCUUUUACGCCGAUGCAUCGAUGCGAACCGGUGAAUCUUCCCAUCCCUAAUAUAUAUAUAUA